rnacentral:rRNA from 1 species
AGCUCCAAUAGCGUAUAUUAAAGUUGUUGCAGUUAAAAAGCUCGUAGUUGAACUUCUAGUCGGGGUCGUCACGCGCUUCGGCCGUGGCGGGCUCGGCUAUCCGUCAGAGAACCAGAUUGUCCUUAACUGGUCGCCUGGGCAAUCUGACACUUUACUUUGAAAAAACUAAAGUGUUCAAGGCAGGCGGUCGCCUGAAUACA